rnacentral:rRNA from 1 species
CCUACGGUGUGCUGCAGUGGGGAAUAUUGGACAAUGGGCGAAAGCCUGAUCCAGCCAUGCCGCGUGUGUGAAGAAGGCCUUCGGGUUGUAAAGCACUUUCAGUGGGGAAGAAAGCCUUGGGGCUAAUACCCUCGAGGAAGGACAUCACCCACAGAAGAAGCACCGGCUAACUCCGUGCCAGCAGCCGCGGUAAUACGGAGGGUGCGAGCGUUAAUCGGAAUUACUGGGCGUAAAGCGCGCGUAGGCGGUCUGAUAAGCCGGUUGUGAAAGCCCCGGGCUCAACCUGGGAACGGCAUCCGGAACUGUCAGGAUAGAGUGCAGGAGAGGAAGGUAGAAUUCCCGGUGUAGCGGUGAAAUGCGUAGAGAUCGGGAGGAAUACCAGUGGCGAAGGCGGCCUUCUGGACUGACACUGACGCUGAGGUGCGAAAGCGUGGGUAGCAAACAGGAUUAGAUACCCCAGUAGUC